GGGGUUGUGGAUCGCGACCAGGGAAGAAGAAAGGGGAGAAACCCUACUUCAUCAAAGAACUUCAAAUUUCAGCAAAUUAGUAGUGAUUCUUGGCACAAUUUGAAUGCAUGUGUUUAAAUACUCAAUAAUCCAAGUGUCUUGAACUUAAGGAACGAAAGAAGAAGGAGUUAGUUCGGGAUCACAAACAAAGGCUCAAGAUCGAGGUAAAGCACCCGUAUGAUGGUCAUUGCGUCGCUUGGACACGAACACACCUUGAACACCCGUGAUGCGCUUCCGCACUUUUGUAGUUGCCAUAUUAGUUAAAGACUUUUGUUUAAGAUAGUAGUGUUGGAGUUUUAAAUUAACUAGUUGUUUGUGAAUGUUUAAGUAUCUUAAAUAUGAUGUUUUUGAAUCGAUGUCGUCAUUUGAGUUUUGA
rnacentral:lncRNA from 1 species